AAGUCGAACGCUUUGUUUUUAAUUGAUAUGAAGAGCUUGCUCUGAUUUGAUUUCCUUUGACAAAGAGUGGCGAACGGGUGAGUAACACGUGGGUAACCUACCUCUUAGCAGGGGAUAACAUUUGGAAACAAGUGCUAAUACCGUAUAACACUAACAACCGCAUGGUUGUUAGUUGAAAGAUGGUUCUGCUAUCACUAAGAGAUGGACCCGCGGUGCAUUAGCUAGUUGGUAAGGUAAUGGCUUACCAAGGCGAUGAUGCGUAGCCGAGUUGAGAGACUGAUCGGCCACAAUGGGACUGAGACACGGCCCAUACUCCUACGGGAGGCAGCAGUAGGGAAUCUUCCACAAUGGGCGCAAGCCUGAUGGAGCAACGCCGCGUGUGUGAUGAAGGGUUUCGGCUCGUAAAACACUGUUAUAAGAGAAGAACGACAUUGAGAGUAACUGUUCAGUGUGUGACGGUAUCUUAUCAGAAAGGAACGGCUAAAUACGUGCCAGCAGCCGCGGUAAUACGUAUGUUCCAAGCGUUAUCCGGAUUUAUUGGGCGUAAAGCGAGCGCAGACGGUUAUUUAAGUCUGAAGUGAAAGCCCUCAGCUCAACUGAGGAAGGGCUUUGGAAACUGGAUAACUUGAGUGCAGUAGAGGAAAGUGGAACUCCAUGUGUAGCGGUGAAAUGCGUAGAUAUAUGGAAGAACACCGGUGGCGAAAGCGGCUUUCUGGACUGUAACUGACGUUGAGGCUCGAAAGUGUGGGUAGCAAACAGGAUUAGAUACCCUGGUAGUCCACACCGUAAACGAUGAGUGCUAGAUGUUCGAGGGUUUCCGCCCUUGAGUGUCGCAGCUAACGCAUUAAGCACUCCGCCUGGGGAGUACGACCGCAAGGUUGAAAC
rnacentral:rRNA from 1 species